rnacentral:rRNA from 1 species
GUGGGGAAUUUUGGACAAUGGGCGCAAGCCUGAUCCAGCAAUGCCGCGUGCAGGAAGAAGGCCUUCGGGUUGUAAACUGCUUUUGUACGGAACGAAACGGUCCUGGUUAAUACCUGGGGCUAAUGACGGUACCGUAAGAAUAAGCACCGGCUAACUACGUGCCAGCAGCCGCGGUAAUACGUAGGGUGCAAGCGUUAAUCGGAAUUACUGGGCGUAAAGCGUGCGCAGGCGGUUUUGUAAGACAGGCGUGAAAUCCCCGGGCGCAACCUGGGAAUUGCGCUUGUGACUGCAAGGCUGGAGUGCGGCAGAGGGGGAUGGAAUUCCGCGUGUAGCAGUGAAAUGCGUAGAUAUGCGGAGGAACACCGAUGGCGAAGGCAAUCCCCUGGGCCUACACUGACGCUCAUGCACGAAAGAGUGGGGAGCAAACAGGAUUAGAAACCCUUGUAGUCC